GUGUUUAAGUGGUAGAAUGCUCGCCUGCCACUGCGGGCGGCCCGGGUUCGAUUCCAGGCCGAUGCA
rnacentral:tRNA from 1 species